rnacentral:lncRNA from 1 species
AACUAGUAAUAUUCAUUUACCCCUAUACCAGCCAAUAGAUCCUAGCCCUUCAACCAAUGAAGUUACCCUGUCUGAUUUAGACCUGCAGGUUUUGACCAUGCAGAAAAAAGAAAAAAUAAACUUAGAAUAUUUAGAAAAUGAUUACCUAUCAGCACAAAAUGAACAAAUAAGAAAUUGGUAGUUACAAACUUUUCCGAAAAAAUUAAUAGAUAAGUGCCAUAAAAGAUAUAAUAAAUUUUUAAAAGAACACAAACAGAAUAUUAAAUACUUUGACUGGCUAAAAGCUACUCUCAAAGAAAAAGGGUACUCUAUGCCAGACUUUAAAAUAAAUACUAUUGAAAGUCAAUAUCAGACUUUCGAGACAACAGAAGGAAGUGAAGAAGUAUACAUCCCCCUGAAAAAUCUCUUAUCAUAAACAAAGGACAGCUAGAAUCUAGAGCUUCACCAUAUAAAAUAAUUCAAGGAGAACAUAUCCAUAAAAUUGAACUACUUCCACAUAUAAUAUAACAAAAUAAUUAUACUAAUCUAUAUCUUCACUCUUUAGAAAAACAGACUACCCGCAUAGAAAACAUUAUAAAUAACCAUAUAAACAAAUUGAAGAAAAGAAAAAGUUAAUAAUGUACAAAAUAGGGUACAAAAACAGUUACCCGAAGUAUUUACAGAGUUGAAAGAAGUACAACUUCCAGUAAGUCUACAAAGGAAAGUGUAGAACUAGGUAAGAAAUAAGAGUAUACACAAAAAGAGAAGAGGGAAGGAGAAGAUGAGGGAUGGAAGUGGGUGAAGCAGGGAGCUGAUCUCUUAAGGCUCCUCUUCAGACUUGCUUCUCUUGCGAGGACUUCUUCUUCCUUUUAUAGAGUCCGGAACUCAAAGAAUUAUUCAAUAUUUUGUAUAAGUCUGCAUCUUUAAUAAUAUCUUUUUGGCAAGUGGUGCUUUACUGUGGCUAGUUGGAAGUACGGAUGAUGUUAGUGGAGGCAUUGUGCUGUCGGUA